rnacentral:rRNA from 1 species
UACGUAGGGCGCGAGCGUUGUCCGGAAUUAUUGGGCGUAAAGAGCUCGUAGGCGGCCUGUUGCGUCCGCUGUGAAAGCCCGGGGCUUAACCCCGGGUCGGCAGUGGAUACGGGCAGGCUAGAGUAUGGUAGGGGCAGAGGGAAUUCCUGGUGUAGCGGUGAAAUGCGUAGAGAUCAGGAAGAACAUCGGUGGCGAAGGCGCUCUGCUGGACCAUAACUGACACUCAGGGACGAAAGCUAGGGGAGCGAAUGGG